rnacentral:rRNA from 1 species
UGCGUAGGCGGAAUGAUAAGUUAGUGGUGAAAGCCCCCGGCUCAACCGGGGAACUGCCAUUAAUACUGUCAUUCUUGAGUAUAGUUGAAGUGGGCGGAAUGUAUCAUGUAGCGGUGAAAUGCUUAGAUACGAUACAGAACACCGAUAGCGUAGGCAGCUUGCUAAACUAUAACUGACGCUCAGGCACGAAAGCGUGGGGAGCAAACAGGAUUAGAUACCCUGGUAGUCC